UUUUCACUUCGAUUUCUAAGUUUCAUUCCAUUGCAGUCAGAAAAAACAACUGAUAUUAUUUCAAUCACAUUAAAUAUUUUGUGAUCUAACUUGUGAUUUAUUCUAGAGAAAGAAUUUUGUGUGCUCAAGUAGAACUGCAUAUUCUGUUGCUGUUAGGUGGAAUGUUCUAUAUAUAUCUUAUAGGUUACCUUGGCCUGUAGUGUUACUCAAGUUCUUUUUUCCUUUACUGAUAAUCAGUUUGGAUGUACUUUCCAUGAUUGUUAUAUCUUUCUGGAAAAUUGACUCCUUUAUUAUUGUCAGGUUCGUCUGCUCUGCUGUAGCUAUCUCCCUUGGUCCUUGCCUACACAUAACACGGAUUUGGAGGUGUAAGCUGAGAAUCAUGGUAGUUGCAUGGGAAUAGAGCCAGUGGGCAGGCAGGCAGUCUGGAAGAACAUUUUUCCAGCCAAGAAGUGCUACAGCAGUGCCAGGAUAGAUCCAGCAGUCUUGCUGUGCAGGGAUGGAGGCAGGCAGUUUCUCCAGGUGGGAGCAAUCAACUCAGCACUAGAGCAGUUCAGGGUCAGAGGGAAUUUCCCCUUGAAUGGACACCUCAGUGUAACAGCUCUGCCCUGGGCUCUUUUGAUGAGCUGCUCAGGUCCGUCACCCCAACCCCUGUCACCCAGAGCAAAAAACGCUCCUAUCAGUUGCCUCGGAGGUCAAAAUCAAGAGUCAGGUAGCAGUGUACAGCAAGUUUUAUUUACAUCCUCAGAGAGAGUGGGCCACCCUAGGUAGAGACUGGCCCUGGCUGCAACUGUGUCUCUCUUUAUAUUCCUAUAUCACAGACCUGUUUGGGGAUCCCUAUUCUCUUGCCCCAAGCCCACUAAUUUCCUGUCCCAACCCCCCUGCACCAUUUGUUGUUUUGAUCUCCGUAUAGGAAGGCAGAUUUUGAUCCCCCGAUCACAUUUGGACAAGGAUGCUUUUGUACAUGGAAAAAAGGUUAUAGGGAGGUGCUCUGAAGAGCAUUUCUCUGAUACCUGUAUGUGUCUUUUUUGUUUGAUCGUAGGCCCCAUAUUUUGGUAAUUGAUAAAUGGCCUGUUUUUUUUCUCUUGUUCCCUAGAUCUGAUUUUUUAAAUUUAUUUUUAUUGCUAUUUCCCCCAACACACUUUUUUUCCCACUGUACAGCAUGGAGACCCAGUUACACAUACAUGUAUACAUGAUUUUUUUCUCCCAUUGUCAUGUUGCAUUGUAAGUAUCUAGACACAGUGCCACACAGCAGGAUUUCAUUGUAAAUCUAUUCCAUGAGCAAUAGUUUGCCUCCAUUGACCCCAAGCUCCCGAUCCCUCCCCCUCUCCCCAGGCAACCACAAGCCUAUUCUCCAAGUCUGUGAUUUUCUUUUCUGUGGAAAGGUUCAUUUGUGCUGUAUAUUAGACACCACAUAUGAGUGAUAUCAUAUGGUAUUUGUCUUUUUCUUUCUGACUUACUUCACUCAGUAUGAGAGUUUCAUCCAUGUUGCUGCAAAUGGCAUUAUUUCAUUAUUUUUUUAUGGCUGAGUAGUAUUCCAUUCUGUAUAUAUGCCACAUCUUCCUAAUCCAGUUGUCUGUCGAUGGACAUUUGGGUUGUUUCCAGAUCUUGGCUAUUGUGAAUAAAGCUGCAAUGAACAUGUGGGUGCAUGUGUAUUUUUCAAGGAAAGUUUUGUCCAGAUAUAUGCCCAAGAGUGGGAUUGCUGGGUCACAUGGUACUUUUCUGCAUAGAUUUCUAACGUACCUCCAUACUGUUCUCCAUAGUGGCUGUACAGCUUACAUUCCCACCAGCAGUGCAGGAGGGUUCCCUUUUCUCCACACCCACUCCAGCAUUUGUUACUUGUGGAUUAAUUAAUGAUGGCCAUUUUGACUGGUAUGAGGUGGUAUCUCAUGGUAGUUUUGAUUUGCAUUUCUCUAAUAAUCAGUGAUGUUGAGCAUUUUUUUCAUGUGCUCAUUGGCCAUCUGUAUAUCUGCCUUGGAGAAAUGUCUAUUCAAGUCUUUUGCCCAUUUUUCCAUUGGGUUGUUGGCUUUUUUGCUGUUGAGUUGUACAAGUUGCUUGUAUAUUCUAGAGAUUAAGCCCUUGUCAGUGCAUCAUUUGAAACUAUUUUCUCCCAUUCUGUAUGUUGUAUUUUUGUUUUCUUUUUGGUUUCCUUUGCUGUGCAAAAGCUUGUCCAUUUGAUUAGGUCCCAUUGGUUUAUUUUUGCUUUUUUUGUGUGUUGCUUUGGGAGACUGACCUGCCAAAAUAUUCAUAAGGUUGAUGUCAGAGGAUAUUUGCCUAUGUUCUCUUCCAGGAGUUUGAUGGUAUCUUGUCUUAUAUUAAGGUCUUUCAGCCAUUCUGAGUUUCUUUUUGUGCAUGGUGUCAGGGUGUGUUCUAGUUUCAUUGCUUUGCAUGCAGCUGUCCAGGUUUCCCAGCAAUACCUGCGGAAAAGACUGUCUUUUUCCCAUUGUAUGUUCUUGCCUCCUUUGUCAAAGAUUAAUUGACCAUAAGUGUCAGGGUUUAUUUCUGGGUUCUAUGUUCUGUUCCAUUGGGCUGUAUGUCUGUUCUGGUACCAGUACCACACUGUCUUGAUGACUGUGGCUUUGUAAUAUUGCUUGAAGUCUGUAAGAGUUAUUCAUCCUGCUUGGUUUUUGUUGCAAAGGAUUGCUUUGGCAAUUCUGGGUCUUUGGUUGUUCCAUCUAAAUUUUUGGAUUAUUUGUUGUAGUUCUGUGAAAAAUGUCAUGGGUAAUUUGAUAGGGAUUGCAUUGAUUCUGUAGGUUGCUUUGGGUAGUAUGGUCAUUUUUACAAUAUUAAUUUUUCCAACCCAGGAACAUGGAAUAACUUUCCAUUUCUUUAUAUCUUCUUUAAUUUCCUUGAUUAAUGUUUUAUAGCUCUUGGCAUAUUAAUCCUUUACCUCCUUGGUGUGGUGUAUUCCAGGUUUUUUGUGGUGCAAGUUUAAAAGGUAUUGUAUUUCUGUAUUCCUUUUCUAAUAUUUCUUUGCUAGUAUACAGAAAUGUGACCGAUUUCUGAAUGUUAAUGUUAUAUCCUGCUACUUUGCUGAAUUUGUUGAUCAGUUCAAGUAGUUUUCCGGUUGAGUCCUUAGGGUUUUCUAUGUAUAGUAUCAUGUCAUCUGCAUACAGUGACAGUUUUACCUCUUCUCUUCCUAUUUGGAUGCUUUUUAUUUCUUUUGUUUGUCUGAUUGCUGUGGCUAGGAAUUCCAGUACUAUUUUGAACAGCAGUGGUGAGAGUGGACAUCCCUGUCUUGUUCCAGAUUUUAGUGGGAAGGCUUUUAAUUUUUCUCCAUUGAGUAUUAUAUUUGCUGUGGGUUUGUCAUAAGUGGCUUUGAUUAUGUUAAGUUAUGUUCCCUCUAUACCCACUUUGGUGAGAGUUUUUAUCAUGAAUGGAUGUUGGGCUUUGUCAAAUGCUUUUUUGGCAUCUAUUGAGAUGAUCAUGUGGUUUUUGACUUUUCUUUUGUUAAUGUGGUGUAUGUCAUUGAUUGAUUUGCCUAUGUUGAACCAUCCUUGUGAACCUGGGAUGAAUCCCACCUGGUCAUGUUGUAUGAUCUUUUUGAUAUGUUGUUGGAUUUGAUUGGCUAAAAUUUUGUUGAGAAUUUUUGCAUCUAUACUCAUCAGUUUUUCAAAAGGUUGAAGAAGAAGGAACACUCCCAAAGAUAUUCUAUGAUGCCACCAUCACCCUAAUUCCAAAACUAGACAAAGAUACC
rnacentral:lncRNA from 1 species